rnacentral:rRNA from 1 species
UACGAAGGGGGCUAGCGUUGCUCGGAAUCACUGGGCGUAAAGGGUGCGUAGGCGGGUUUUUAAGUCAGGGGUGAAAUCCUGGAGCUCAACUCCAGAACUGCCUUUGAUACUGAAGAUCUUGAGCCCGGGAGAGGUGAGUGGAACUGCGAGUGUAGAGGUGAAAUUCGUAGAUAUUCGCAAGAACACCAGUGGCGAAGGCGGCUCACUGGCCCGGUACUGACGCUGAGGCACGAAAGCGUGGGGAGCAAACAGG